GGGGUAAUGGCUUAGUGGCAAAACAUCUGUUUGGCAUGCAGAAGUUCCCCAGUUCAACCCCAGGCAUCUCCA
rnacentral:tRNA from 1 species